GAUGAACGCUGGCGGCGUGCCUAACACAUGCAAGUCGAGCGAACAGAUGAGGAGCUUGCUCCUCUGACGUUAGCGGCGGACGGGUGAGUAACACGUGGAUAACCUACCUAUAAGACUGGGAUAACUUCGGGAAACCGGAGCUAAUACCGGAUAAUAUAUUGAACCGCAUGGUUCAAUAGUGAAAGACGGUUUUGCUGUCACUUCUAGAUGGAUCCGCGCCGCAUUAGCUAGUUGGUAAGGUAACGGCUUACCAAGGCGACGAUGCGUAGCCGACCUGAGAGGGUGAUCGGCCACACUGGAGCUGAGACACGGUCCAGACUCCUACGGGAGGCAGCAGUAGGGAAUCUUCCGCAAUGGGCGAAAGCCUGACGGAGCAACGCCGCGUGAGUGAUGAAGGUCUUCGGAUCGUAAAACUCUGUUAUUAGGGAAGAACAAAUGUGUAAGUAACUAUGCACGUCUUGACGGUACCUAAUCAGAAAGCCACGGCUAACUACGUG
rnacentral:rRNA from 1 species